UUUUAAUAGCUUAUUAGAGCGCAAUAUUGAAAAUGUUGAGGAGAUUUAUCUUAAAAUAAU
rnacentral:tRNA from 1 species